GGGGGUGAUCCGGUUUCGACGGGAUAUGUUGAGGUCAGAUCGCGCGUCGUGGAUUCUCGUUGGCCACGUAAAAAACGAGAACAAACAGUAAUUGCGAACAACGAUUACGCUCUCGCCGCCUAAAUAACGGCCGCGAAGUCGAACCGCCGACGUCAGAUGAGCGGGGAGGCUUAAUUUAUCUGGCUACGCUGCAGGACUCUCCGCUCGGGCGCUGCAGGGUACCGAACCGAACGGAUGGAUUCGGCUUAGCGCGCUUGUCCGCUUGCCGUUUCCGAGACUAAAGGCAGGAUACACGCGUAGAAGUUUGGCUGAUUCUGUUUCGGACGCGAGUUCGACUCUCGCCACCUCCACCA
rnacentral:tmRNA from 1 species